rnacentral:rRNA from 1 species
UAGGGAAUCUUCGGCAAUGGACGAAAGUCUGACCGAGCAACGCCGCGUGAGUGAAGAAGGUUUUCGGAUCGUAAAACUCUGUUGUUAGAGAAGAACAAGGACGUUAGUAACUGAACGUCCCCUGACGGUAUCUAACCAGAAAGCCACGGCUAACUACGUGCCAGCAGCCGCGGUAAUACGUAGGUGGCAAGCGUUGUCCGGAUUUAUUGGGCGUAAAGCGAGCGCAGGCGGUUUCUUAAGUCUGAUGUGAAAGCCCCCGGCUCAACCGGGGAGGGUCAUUGGAAACUGGGGGACUUGAGUGCAGAAGAGGAGAGUGGAAUUCCAUGUGUAGCGGUGAAAUGCGUAGAUAUAUGGAGGAACACCAGUGGCGAAGGCGGCUCUCUGGUCUGUUACUGACGCUGAGGCUCGAAAGCGUGGGGAGCAAACAGG